rnacentral:lncRNA from 1 species
AAAAAACUUAGAUCGAAACAAAACAAUUCCUGGGAAAAAUCAAAACCAAAACGAUGCAACUAAUGAGAUGUCGUACGGAGGCGAAUCUAAUGAGAUAUCGUACGGAGGCGAAACCGAAACCUCUGGCGGAGGAUUUAAAGCUUUUCCGGCGAACCUCCGAUGACUCGCCUUCUCUUUCUUCUGGUUAGGUUUACGGCCGCGACAGUUAACCUGUUCACUACUGAUGUGUCCCACCAGAACCAGUAGUUCGUGUAAUAAUCGAAGCAAUCGCAGUCGAAUACCGGAGAUUUGUGUGCGGCUGGAGCUUUCUUCUUAUUGUUAUUAUCAGAUGAUCUAGGGUUUGUGGAAUUAUUUUUGACACAAAUGAUUAAAGUAAUGUAACUUGUGAUUAUUAAACUGGAAUUGUUUUUGACCCAAAUGAUUAAAGUAAUGUAACUUGUGAUUAU